rnacentral:rRNA from 1 species
CUCCUCGUGCUGACCCCAGGUUCGAUAGUACCAAUUAGGCAUCACCUCGCCAAGAACCAACUUCGAUGAAGCGACGGGCGGUGUGUGCAAGGAG